rnacentral:rRNA from 1 species
GACGAACGCUGGCGGCGUGCUUAACACAUGCAAGUCGAACGGAAAGGCCCUGCUUUUGUGGGGUGCUCGAGUGGCGAACGGGUGAGUAACACGUGAGUAACCUGCCCUUGACUUUGGGAUAACUUCAGGAAACUGGGGCUAAUACCGGAUAGGAGCUCCUGCUGCAUGGUGGGGGUUGGAAAGUUCCGGCGGUUGGGGAUGGACUCGCGGCUUAUCAGCUUGUUGGUGGGGUAGUGGCUUACCAAGGCUUUGACGGGUAGCCGGCCUGAGAGGGUGACCGGCCACAUUGGGACUGAGAUACGGCCCAGACUCCUACGGGAGGCAGCAGUGGGGAAUAUUGCACAAUGGGCGGAAGCCUGAUGCAGCAACGCCGCGUGCGGGAUGACGGCCUUCGGGUUGUAAACCGCUUUCGCCUGUGACGAAGCGUGAGUGACGGUAAUGGGUAAAGAAGCACCGGCUAACUACGUGCCAGCAGCCGCGGUGAUACGUAGGGUGCGAGCGUUGUCCGGAUUUAUUGGGCGUAAAGGGCUCGUAGGUGGUUGAUCGCGUCGGAAGUGUAAUCUUGGGGCUUAACCCUGAGCGUGCUUUCGAUACGGGUUGACUUGAGGAAGGUAGGGGAGAAUGGAAUUCCUGGUGGAGCGGUGGAAUGCGCAGAUAUCAGGAGGAACACCAGUGGCGAAGGCGGUUCUCUGGGCCUUUCCUGACGCUGAGGAGCGAAAGCGUGGGGAGCGAACAGGCUUAGAUACCCUGGUAGUCCACGCUGUAAACGGUGGGUACUAGGUGUGGGGUCCAUUCCACGGGUUCCGUGCCGUAGCUAACGCUUUAAGUACCCCGCCUGGGGAGUACGGCCGCAAGGCUAAAACUCAAAGGAAUUGACGGGGCCCCGCACAAGCGGCGGAGCAUGCGGAUUAAUUCGAUGCAACGCGUAGAACCUUACCUGGGUUUGACAUGGAUCGGGAGUGCUCAGAGAUGGGUGUGCCUCUUUUGGGGUCGGUUCACAGGUGGUGCAUGGCUGUCGUCAGCUCGUGUCGUGAGAUGUUGGGUUAAGUCCCGCAACGAGCGCAACCCUUGUUCACUGUUGCCAGCACGUUAUGGUGGGGACUCAGUGGAGACCGCCGGGGUCAACUCGGAGGAAGGUGGGGAUGACGUCAAGUCAUCAUGCCCCUUAUGUCCAGGGCUUCACGCAUGCUACAAUGGCUGGUACAGAGAGUGGCGAGCCUGUGAGGGUGAGCGAAUCUCGGAAAGCCGGUCUCAGUUCGGAUUGGGGUCUGCAACUCGACCUCAUGAAGUCGGAGUCGCUAGUAAUCGCAGAUCAGCAACGCUGCGGUGAAUACGUUCCCGGG